rnacentral:rRNA from 1 species
GUCUACAGCCAUGCCACCCUAAUCUCAGAAGCAAAACAGGGUCGGGCCUGGUUAGUACUUGGAUGGGAGACCACCUAGAAAGACCAGGUGCUGUAGGCA